rnacentral:rRNA from 1 species
GUCUAAGGCCAUUCCACCCUGAAUACAUCAUAUCUUGUCUGAUCUCAGAAGCUAAGCAGGGUCAGGCCUGGCUAGCAUUUACAUGGUAGAGUUUUUGUAGUUUUUUUUU